rnacentral:rRNA from 2 species
AAAUUUGAAAUCUGGCCCCCCCCCCGCGGGAGGUCCGAGUUGUAAUUUGCAGAGGAUGCUUCUGGCGCGGCGCCUUCCGAGUUCCCUGGAACGGGACGCCACAGAGGGUGAGAGCCCCGUCCGGUCGGACGCCUAGCCUGUGUGAAGCACCUUCGACGAGUCGGGUAGUUUGGGAAUGCUGCCCUAAAUGGGAGGUAUAUGUCUUCUAAAGCUAAAUACCGGCCAGAGACCGAUAGCGCACAAGUAGAGUGAUCGAAAGAUGAAAAGCACUUUGAAAAGAGGGUUAAACAGUACGUGAAAUUGUUGAAAGGGAAGCGCUCAUGACCAGACUUGGGCCCGGGGGAUCACCCGGCGUUCUUUCGCCGGGGCACUUCGCCGGCUGCCCAGGCCAGCAUCAGUUCGCGGCGGGGGACAAAGGCUUCGGGAACGUAGCUCCCUACGGGGAGUGUUAUAGCCCGCUGCGCAAUGCCCUGCCGCGGACUGAGGUUCGCGCUUCCGCAAGGAUGCUGGCGUAAUGGUCAUCAGCGACCCGUCUUGAAACACGGACCAAGGAGUCGUCUUCGUAUGCGAGUGUUCGGGUGUCAAACCCCUACGCGGAAUGAAAGUGAACGCAGGUGAGAGCUUCGGCGCAUCACCGACCGAUCCUGAUGUUCUCGGAUGGAUUUGAGUAGGAGCAUACGGGGCCGGACCCGAAAGAAGGUGAACUAUGCCUGUAUAGGGUGAAGCCAGAGGAAACUCUGGUGGAGGCUCGCAGCGGUUCUGACGUGCAAAUCGAUCGUCA